CUCCUAAACAGUGGUAAUAACGCAAGCAAAGAAGGUCUUCUAAGAUGCGAGUAUUGCUAGUUGAAAACUUUCUCCAAAUUUCCAAACGUAAAUUUCAGUAAAAGAAGGACUGGUUUCGUGUGAAUGUUCGUAUUAAAAUUUUU
rnacentral:snRNA from 1 species